AUUGAACGCUGGCGGCAGGCCUAACACAUGCAAGUCGAGCGGAAGCAGGGAGCUUGCUCCUGAAUUCAGCGGCGGACGGGAGUGUAACGCCUAGACAUCUGCCUGGUAGUGGGGGAUAACGUCCGGAAACGGGCGAUAAUACCGUAUACGCCCUGAGGGAGAAAGUGGGGGCUCUUCGGAUCUCACGCUAUCAGCUGAGCCUAGGUCGGAUUAGCUAGUUGGUGGGGUAAAGGCCUACCAAGGCGACGAUCCGUAACUGGUCUGAGAGGAUGAUCAGUCACACUGGAACUGAGACACGGUCCAGACUCCUACGGGAGGCAGCAGUGGGGAAUAUUGGACAAUGGGCGAAAGCCUGAUCCAGCCAUGCCGCGUGUAGGAAGAAGGUCUUCGGAUUGUAAAGCGCUUUAGUUUGGAAGGAAGGGCAUUUAGUUAAUACCUGGCUGUUUUGACGUUACCAACAGAAUAAGCACCGGCUAACUACGUG
rnacentral:rRNA from 1 species